rnacentral:rRNA from 1 species
UACGUACCGGACGAACGUUAUUCGGAAUUACUGGGCUUAAAGAGUUCGUAGGCGGCUGCGUAGGUGAGGUGUGAAAGCCCACGGCUUAACCGUGGAAUGGCGCUUCAAACCACGCAGCUUGAGGGAGACAGGGGUGAGCGGAACGGAUGGUGGAGCGGUGAAAUGCAUUGAUAUCAUCUGGAACACCGGUGGCGAAGGCGGCUCACUGGGUCUCUUCUGACGCUGAGGAACGAAAGCUAGGGUAGCGAACGGG